UACGUAGGGGGCUAGCGUUAUCCGGAAUUACUGGGCGUAAAGGGUGCGUAGGUGGUUUCUUAAGUCAGAGGUGAAAGGCUACGGCUCAACCGUAGUAAGCCUUUGAAACUGGGAAACUUGAGUGCGGGAGAGGAGAGUGGAAUUCCUAGUGUAGCGGUGAAAUGCGUAGAUAUUAGGAGGAACACCAGUUGCGAAAGCGGCUCUCUGGCCUGUAACUGACACUGAGGCUCGAAAGCGUGGGGAGCAAACAGG
rnacentral:rRNA from 1 species